AACCCAUGCAUUGGACAUUUUUGAAUUAAGUCUUUAAAUCGUUCCCAAGCUUCAUAUAGUGUUUAAUUCUCUAAUUGCCAAAAAGAUGUAAUGUCAUUUCUAAGCUU
rfam:Gossypium arboreum cultivar AKA8401 contig_38355_1, whole genome shotgun sequence.